rnacentral:rRNA from 1 species
GCACGUAGUUAGCCGGCGCUUCUUCUGCGGGUACCGUCAUGGAUCCAUGGUGUUAACACGGACCUUUUCGUCCCCGCCGAAAGAGCUUUACAACCCGAAGGCCUUCUUCACUCACGCGGCAUGGCUGGAUCAGGCUUGCGCCCAUUGUCCAAAAUUCCCCACUGCUGCCUCCCGUAGGAGUCUGGACCGUGUCUCAGUUCCAGUGUGGCUGGUCGUCCUCUCAGACCAGCUACGGAUCGUCGCCUUGGUGGGCUUUUACCCCGCCAACUAGCUAAUCCGACAUCGGCCGCUCCAAUAGUGAGAGGUCUUGCGAUCCCCCUCUUUCACCCGUAGGUCGUAUGCGGUAUUAGCCUCUCUUUCGAGAGGUUAUCCCCCGCUACUGGACACGUUCCGAUGUAUUACUCACCCGUUCGCCACUCUACUCGGGGGGUUGCCCCCUCUUUCGCGUUCGACUUGCAUGUGUAAGGCAUGCCGCCAGCGUUCAAU